AUUGAACGCUGGCGGGAAUGCUUUUACACAUGCAAGUCGAGCGGCAGCGCGGGGCAACCUGGCGGCGAGCGGCGAACGGGUGAGUAAAUGCAUCGGAACAUGUCCAUUCGUGGGGGAUAGCCCGGCGAAAGCCGGAUUAAUACCGCAUACGCCCGAGAGGGGAAAGUGGGGGACCGCAAGGCCUCACGCGAUUGGGUUGGCCGAUGUCCGAUUAGCUAGUUGGUGGGGUAAAGGCCCACCAAGGCGAUGAUCGGUAGCUGGUCUGAGAGGAUGAUCAGCCACACUGGGACUGAGACACGGGCCCAGACUCCUACGGGAGGCAGCAGUGGGGAAUUUUGGACAAUGGGGGAAACCCUGAUCCAGCCA
rnacentral:rRNA from 1 species